rnacentral:rRNA from 1 species
GACGAACGCUGGCGGCGUGCUUAACACAUGCAAGUCGAACGGAAAGGCCCUGCUUUUGUGGGGUGCUCGAGUGGCGAACGGGUGAGUAACACGUGAGUAACCUGCCCUUGACUUUGGGAUAACUUCAGGAAACUGGGGCUAAUACCGGGUAGGAGCUCCUGCUGCAUGGUGGGGGUUGGAAAGUUUCGGCGGUUGGGGAUGGACUCGCGGCUUAUCAGCUUGUUGGUGGGGUAGUGGCUUACCAAGGGUUUGACGGGUAGCCGGCCUGGGAGGGGGACCGGCCACAUUGGUACUGAGAUACGGCCCAGACUCCUACGGGAGGCAGCAGUGGGGAAUAUUGCAGAAUGGGCGGAAGCCUGAUGCAGCAACGCCGCGUGCGGGAUGACGGCCUUCGGGUUGUAAACCGCUUUCGCCUGUGACGAAGCGUGAGUGACGGUAAUGGGUAAAGAAGCACCGGCUAACUACGUG